rnacentral:rRNA from 1 species
UACGAAGGGAGCUAUCGUUGUUCGGAAUUACUGGGCGUAAAGCGCACGUAGGCGGACUUGCCAGUCGAGUGUGAAAGCCCGGGGCUCAACCUCGGAACUGCAUCCGAUACAGGAUGGCUUGAGGUCGGAAGAGGAGAGUGGAAUUCCCAGUGUAGAGGUGAAAUUCGUAGAUAUUGGGUGGAACACCAGUGGCGAAAGCGGCUCUCUGGUCCGGUCCUGACGCUGAGGCGCGAAAGCGUGGGUAGAAAACAGG